rnacentral:lncRNA from 1 species
AAGAAAAAGAAUGUGAAAAGGGACAUGGCUAGAUGUUGAUGGCACCAAGGAGAGGAAUUAAUCAAUAUUUGACUGAGUGUGGGCUGUGUUUGGCCAUCUUCCUAGUCCUUUAUGAAGAAAUGGGCAGUAGAACAUCACAAAUGUUGCUUUGAAUUUGAAGCUGGCAGAUUGAAUGGACAAAAACCUACUACCACAUACGCAGGAUGUCUAACAUGGCUCA